UUGCAGUUUCUAUCUAUAACA
ensembl:piRNA 21ur-2369 ncRNA